AGAUGUUCAUAAAGUGUAGACAAGGUUAUAAAUUUUUUAAAUGGUGUAUUUGUAUUGCAAUAAACAUAAAUCCAUCCUUUUUUAUAGUUGACGGGGAGAAUUUAUAUCCUAGAUUAUAAUUGUUUUAUCUUUGGUUGAACAGAACAAUCAGUGUAAGAGUGUUGGCCAACAUAAUAAUCUAAAUAGACAAGAACCUAGAUUCGGGGAUUCAGCCUGUGUCUGGGGGACGAGACAGACGAACAGCAAAACACCCAUGGAAACAAAGGUGUUUCCAUGGUUGCAAGCUAGAAACAUACAGGGCUCACAACAAAACGGUCGAGAAAACACAUUUUUACAGGGCUCACAACAAUAUGGUUGAGCAAACACAUUUUUACAGAGACUAUCAACAUCAAGAAUACCACAAAGACAAAGUUAACCCAAUUUCAAAAGUAACACUGCCAAGUCGGUGUCUGAUUUGCAGUCUUCUAUUUCUUUCAGUUCACGCUAUUCCUGAAAAGCUCGUCCAACGUUUACUUGUGUCUGGCCUCUCUGUCGGUCAGUCUCCCUUUUCUCUUCUUCUGUUCCUCCGACAUUGGGUUUCUCUGUCUCUUUUUAGUCGGCUGAUCUAUGAUGACUGUAACAAUCCCUUACUUGUGUUUAUAUCGAGCCGGUUCCGUGUUUCGGGGUCUGUGCCGUAAAGCAAUACGCUACUUCGCGAGACCCGAGACUCCCGCGAGAGUGGGCGGCGGGUCGCCGGCAGAAACUUGCAUAUUCCCUUUCUCCGCCAAGAUGCGCUAGGGGGAGUCGAAACAACGACCAAUCAAACAAAAAUGUAUAAUAGAACCAUCGCAAUGACUCUUAACCAAUGACUCUUAGCCGGUGCCAUGUUUGGGGGUAUGUCUGUGCCGUAAAGCAUUUUCAAAACUAAAAUCUGACUACAUCUUCGAGGCGCGAUUGGAUACUUCCGCUGCGUCACAUCCGGAUUGUGUUGGUCCGAACAGAGCAAGUUGCAUAUUCGCUUUUUCCUUGGAGAAGCGACUUGGGGCAAUGAAACACCCGCCAAACAACCCAGAAAUGGUUGUAGAACGAUCAGAACGACUCUCAACCUGCAUUAAUAAGGUCUGAAAAUUGUUGCAUAGUGGGCCUUUAAGUUUUAAGCUUGGGGAUGUUUCGGCGCGUGAACGACUUCAUGCCUGUCUACUAGGGCUGUAACGAUACGCGUAUCGAAACCGAAAUCGCGACACUCAAAGCCACGACCCUGUCUCGCGGUGUGAGAAGGCAGAAGCGCGAUAUGCCCUUUCUAACUCUCCGGUCAAAUUGUCAGAUUGAAAUUUGCUAAUAAUUUGUCUAAAUAAUAGUCUGCUGACAGCGCCCCCUCCUAUCGAUGCCGUAAGUAUGCGACGAGAUGCCCUCUAUGUGAUGACAGCUCUCCGUGGCUACGGAGGAUUGCCUUUCUCCACAGCCGUCGAAGUCCCCAUAUGCGAUAUGAACGACAUUUAUCCAGAGAAAAAAAAUUGCCUGUGUGAUCCUGUCUCUAUUGUUUUGUGUGAUUUGACUGGCAGUUUGUCUCCUUAUAGGUCGGAAUGAAGCGGCCACCGAUUAUUGACAGGAUGGGUACUUUAUUCUACCGGACUCGUUCACUUCCUCACUAGACACACGCGCUACCGCUCGCUCUCCCUGCUCGUCCACUCACUCGCUGACGUCACUCACACACGCAUACGCAAACUGCCAUUCUCGCGCACACACAUAUGCUACUCGUAACACUAUGCCUCGUUAUUGCGACGUUCAUGUUAGACGUUCAUGUUUUUCCCCAUCUAUUGAAAGUUAGGCUAUUAAACAUGUUGCAUUCUAUACGGCCUGAUUAUGUCAUUAUUUAAGCUACAUAGCCUAAUAAGAAGCGCUAAUAAGGAUAUUUGACUAAACCAACCAAACAGUUGA